UCGGCCGCCCGAGACUGAGGCAGGAAAAGAGGAAAGUUUUGAAACUUUCUUUUUUUCCUGCUUCAGUCUCGGGCUAAGAACA
rnacentral:pre_miRNA from 1 species